rnacentral:rRNA from 1 species
GACGAACCGAGCGAACGUUGUUCGGAAUCACUGGGCUUAAAGGGCGCGUAGGCGGGCUGUCAAGUCUGGGGUGAAAUCCUGCGGCUCAACCGUGGAACUGCCUUAGAUACUGACGGCCUCGAGGGAGAUAGGGGCGAGCGGAACUGUGAGUGGAGCGGUGAAAUGCGUUGAUAUUCACAGGAACUCCGGUGGCGAAGGCGGCUCGCUGGAUCUUUUCUGACGCUGAGGCGCGAAAGCUAGGGGAGCAAACGGG